GAGUUUGAUCAUGGCUCAGAUUGAACGCUGGCGGCAUGCCUUACACAUGCAAGUCGAACGGCAGCAUGAUCUAGCUUGCUAGAUUGAUGGCGAGUGGCGAACGGGUGAGUAAUACAUCGGAACGUGCCCUGUAGUGGGGGAUAACUAGUCGAAAGAUUAGCUAAUAUCGCAUACGACCUGAGGGUGAAAGUGGGGACCGCAAGGCCUCAUGCUAUAGGAGCGGCCGAUGUCUGAUUAGCUAGUUGGUGGGGUAAAGGCCCACCAAGGCGACGAUCAGUAGCUGGUCUGAGAGGACGAUCAGCCACACUGGGACUGAGACACGGCCCAGACUCCUACGGGAGGCAGCAGUGGGGAAUUUUGGACAAUGGGCGAAAGCCUGAUCCAGCAAUGCCGCGUGUGUGAGAAGG
rnacentral:rRNA from 1 species